rnacentral:rRNA from 1 species
ACGACCGUACCGCAAACCGACACUGGUGCGCGAGAUGAGUAUUCUAAGGCGCUUGAGAGAACUCAGGAGAAGGAACUCGGCAAAUUGACACCGUAACUUCGGAAGAAGGUGUGCCUUUAGUAGGUGAAGUCCCUCGCGGAUGGAGCCCAAUGAGGUUGCAAAAAAUCGGUGGCUGCGACUGUUUAUUAAAAACACAGCACUCUGCAAACACGAAAGUGGACGUAUAGGGUGUGACGCCUGCCCGGUGCUGGAAGAUUAAAUGAUGGGGUGCAAGCUCUUGAUUGAAGUCCCAGUAAACGGCGGCCGUAACAAUAACGGUCCUAAGGUAGCGAAAUUCCUUGUCGGGUAAGUUCCGACCUGCACGAAUGGCGUAACGAUGGCCACACUGUCUCCUCCUGAGACUCAGCGAAGUUGAAAUGUUUGUGAUGAUGCAAUCUCCCCGCGGAAAGACGGAAAGACCCCAUGAACCUUUACUGUAGCUUUGUAUUGGACUUUGAACAGAUCUGUGUAGGAUAGGUGGGAGGCUUUGAAGCAGGGUCGCUAGAUCUUGUGGAGCCAACGUUGAAAUACCACCCUGGUGUGUUUGAGGUUCUAACCUAGGCCCGUAAUCCGGGUUGGGGACAGUGCAUGGUAGGCAGUUUGACUGGGGCGGUCUCCUCCCAAAGUGUAACGGAGGAGUUCGAAGGUACGCUAGUUACGGUCGGACAUCGUGACGAUAGUGCAAUGGCAUAAGCGUGCUUAACUGCGAGACUGACAAGUCGAGCAGAUGCGAAAGCAGGACAUAGUGAUCCGGUGGUUCUGUAUGGAAGGGCCAUCGCUCAACGGAUAAAAGGUACUCUGGGGAUAACAGGCUGAUACCGCCCAAGAGUUCAUAUCGACGGCGGUGUUUGGCACCUCGAUGUCGGCUCAUCUCAUCCUGGGGCUGUAGCCGGUCCCAAGGGUAUGGCUGUUCGCCAUUUAAAGAGGUACGUGAGCUGGGUUUAAAACGUCGUGAGACAGUUUGGUCCCUAUCUUCCGUGGGCGCUGCAGAUUUGAGGAAGCCUGCUCCUAGUACGAGAGGACCGGAGUGGACGCACCUCUGGUGUAUCGGUUGUCACGCCAGUGGCAUUGCCGAGUAGCUAUGUGCGGAAGAGAUAACCGCUGAAAGCAUCUAAGCGGGAAACUCGUUUCAAGAUGAGAUCUGCCGGGGCCUUGAGCCCCCUGAAGAGUCGUUCAAGACCAGGACGUUGAUAGGUCGGGUGUGGAAGCGCAGUAAUGCGUUAAGCUAACCGAUACUAAUUGCUCGUGCGGCUUGACCCU